GAUAUAUGUACUUACAUAUUGUAAAGUUGCAGAUGAUAUGUGAAAUAUAUCAGAAUUAAGUUUAUAUUUCUACAAUGGCCUUAAGAUUUCCACAACUACUAAAAGUGGCUGAAGAACAACAAAAUUCAAAAUACAGCAGUGGUGGUAAAAUGAUUCCUACUCCUGAAGAGGCUGCUACGUUCCAGCCCCAAGUUGUUGCAGAGGGUGGAUGGGAAAAAUGUUGGGAAGACGGAGUAACACCGUGGGAUCAAGGAAGAGCCACACCUCUCAUUCUCCAUCUUCUCGACUCAUCCUCUCUCCCUCUUGGCCGUACUCUUGUCCCUGGAUGCGGCGGAGGACACGAUAUCGUUGCGAUGGCAAACCCCGAACGUUUCGUUGUUGGACUAGAUAUAUCUGAAAAGGCUCUCAAGAAAGCUAAUGAGACUUACGGCUCCGCACCGAAUGCAAAGUACUUUGCAUUCAUGAAGGAAGAUUUUUUCACUUGGCGUCCUGAUGAACUAUUCGACCUCAUCUUCGAUUAUGUGUUCUUCUGUGCCAUUGAACCGGAAAUGAGACCUGCUUGGGCUAAAUCCAUGUAUGAACUCUUAAAACCUGAGGGCGAACUCAUAACUCUCAUGUAUCCGAUUACCGAUCAUGUUGGUGGAGCUCCCUACAAAGUAUCUGUCUCUGCGUACGAAGCUGUGUUGGUUCCCUUAGACCAUGCACAACGGAAGUACACGACCGAUCCUUAGCACGAUAACUUAGGUAAAACCGAAUAUAAUAAUAUUAUUUAGGUUAAUCUGCGUAAGGAUUGAUCCGUCAUCAAGGCUUUUAAGAGAUUGAUCCUUAGCAACGUGUCAAUUCUUGAGUGGGACGGGGUCGGUUUGAUUUUGGGUUUGGUUAAAAAAAAAUUGUCAUUCGCGACCGAAACCGGAAAAAAAACGGAGAGCUCGAGGAAAGGCGAUAUUUUGGCGAUUGAAACCGAUCGUCUUCACGAAGAGUGUUCUGAACUACUCAUCAAACACUUGAGCAAAAUGAAUGGUGACAUUGCUUCUAGCUCACAGGUGAUUUAGGAGUGUUUCCUUUUCGUCUCUAUCAGAACUUGUUUCCUUUUCUUUCCUUUUGGUACUACUCCUUAUUGUAAACUUGAAUUUGGCUUAUCUCGGAGAGGUUGUUUCCUUUUGCCUCAAAACUUAUUUCUGUACUUUUCAAAACUUGUUUUUGUUAAACUCCAAGAAGUUCUUUUUAGUCCUCGGUUGUUUCAUUCAUAAACUUGUUUCCUCUUGUUCAAAACUUGUAUAAUUUGAUAUAGAAACUUGAAAACAGAUUAGAAAUGUAAUAGAAACUUGAAAACAAUUGAAAAAAAAAUUAUAACUUAUAAAUACCACUUUUAAAAUUGAUUAAAAGAUUACAAAUGCAAUAGAAACUUGAAAACUAUUUAAAAAAAAACUAUUAAUAAAUAUUGUAUCUUUCUAUUCAAUUAUGUUAUAAAUAAAAUUAUUUUAUUUCACUUUUAUUUCACUUU